CACCAAUGAUGACUUGUGUUGUGUGCCACGUGUCUGGGCCACUGAAUGUUCAAAAUAAAGGACACUUUAAUCACUGUUG